GAUGUGACGGGGAUUCAACCCGCGACCCUCAAAUUGCGACUCGAGCGCCCUAACCACCUGGACAUGCCGAACCUGCAACGUAAAGGAAAAGUUGGAAAGCAACAAUUAAAGAGAUCUGAGAACCAACUUGUAUGCAGUCUAACGAUUGGCACAAGAACGUCAGGUGUGAAAAGCACAAGGUGAGGCCUUAUGUGCCUGUGAAGAUACGCAUACAAAACUGAUUUUCAACAUCAGGAAAGUUUCUACAGUUGCAUUGAGAAACGAAGCCUGCUGAAAAACAAGAAAAAAAUAUAAAGAUGCUGCAGGAAAAAAGUUAAUAUGAGAAAGGAAGCAGUUUUUGGAAGUACAAUAAACGAACUAUUUCGAUAACUCAAGCAGCAUUUGAAUCAGUUCGAUCGGUUGUGUGUGUAUGAAUGUACAAGAAAUAACAAAAAUACUAAUAUAAUGUAUUGUAGUUCGAAACAUGUUUUUAUAUGUAUAUAUAUUCUAAAAUAAUAUAAACCGAGUUGAGCAAUAUAACUAGCUCGCUGAUUCGCCAGUUC